UGCAUCCUGGUGGUGGGACAAUGUUUUCUUGGAGAGAAGGAGUUAAAAAAGAAACACUUCUCAGGAAGAGAAUGGAGGAGUUUGGAACAGAAAAAGGAGUAAAUGGGAUAAGAAUGAAAAUUUAAAAGGGAGGGUCAAGGAAUAUCCUGUUUUUUUAUCAUAGUGAAUGCUAAAAUGAAGCUAAAGUAAGGGAGGCAGUUAAUCAGUUGGUUUUUUUCGCAGGUAAUUGCACUGCAGGAUGGGAAAUAACUACAAAACUGCCUGUCUUCCCUCCAUGACAGCAUUUUGCUGGACACAGAUAUUUCAGAAGAGUUAACUUCAGAUUUCUGGAAACAGAAACACUGAAGUAUACAUUUCCAAGUCUAGUUUAUAUUGGUGCUCGAAGUCUUUAUUAUUAUUCUUUUCUGCAAGAAUGCCUUUCUAAGGUGCUGUACUUUGUGCUUUCAUGGAGAUAGGCAUGGCUGGG